AACAAAGGGCAGGUGUUCGGACGGGUAGCGGUAUUUCUUAAGGAUAUCAAGAGAAAAAGUGAACAUGAUUGCUUAAUGAGUUGUUCAUUUUGAAACGAAAAUGGGUCAAUCAGUGAGCGGGAUGAUUUAUUUCAAAA
ensembl:ncRNA F25H8.24 ncRNA